UACGUAGGGCGCAAGCGUUAUCCGGAAUUACUGGGCGUAAAGCGUGCGCAGGCGGUCUGUUAAGACCGAUGUGAAAUCCCCGGGCUUAACCUGGGAACUGCAUUGGUGACUGGCAGGCUUUGAGUGUGGCAGAGGAGGUAGAAUUCCACGUGUAGCAGUGAAAUGCGUAGAGAUGUGGAGGAAUACCGAUGGCGAAGGCAGCCUCCUGGGCCAACACUGACGCUCAUGCACGAAGCGUGGGAG
rnacentral:rRNA from 1 species